rnacentral:rRNA from 1 species
UACGGGGGGGGGCAAGCGUUGUUCGGAAUUACUGGGCGUAAAGGGCGCGUAGGCGGUCUGCUAAGUUGGAUGUGAAAACUCUGGGCUUAACCCAGAGCCUGCAUUCAAUACUGACAGGCUAGAGUUCUGGAGGGGGAUAGCGGAAUUCCUGGUGUAGCGGUGAAAUGCGUAGAUAUCAGGAGGAACACCAGGUGGCGAAGGCGGCUACUCGCCGGACUGACUACGCUGACGGCAGCGAA